UGUGUGUGUGUGUUUUAAAAAAUGCUUCAUAUUUUCGACGCUUAACUUCAAAAACGUGCCUCGCGCUGCGUACAAACUGAAAACGCGUCUUUCAACGGAAAGCUUGUUUCCUUUUUCGAGCUUUCCUUUUUUCCUGAGAGCUCUCAGCGGUUGUACUUUUUAUAAAUCACAUGAUUUUGAGGAGAAGAAACCGACUGAAGGUAAUUACGGGAGAGAAGACUGCGCCGUGCCGUUCUUGAGAAAGUCUACAUGCAAGACGUCGUCAAGUUGUAAGUGAAAACUACAAACAAUGUCGGGCAUUUUUAUUAACGGAAAAUUCAUCACUUUUCCCAUCAAUUUAAAAUACAGUCUUAACUUCUGUCCCCAAGAUGUUUCAAACAUUCACACCUUGAGACCAGAGUGUUUGACUAGAGCUGCGUGGUAUGAACAAAACUCUAUAUCACAGGAUUUUUCUAAAUUCUGAUAUUCAGUAUUAUCAAGAUGAAAUGAAGAAACAAGAUUAUUAAGAUUUCAAGUUAGGAGCCGGACCUUUAAUAUACUAAUUAUUAAUGUUAGUAGUAAAAUCCACCAGUAAUUAGUCUAACCUGCUUUUUUAUUACAAAUGUGGCAGGUGAUUCAGGGGUUUUGGGUCCUUGAAUAAUCACACACUUCAUUUUUUGUGUGUGUUUUUUAGUUGUAGUUUAGCAUGGUUACUCUUCAUAUUUCAUUAAUAUGUCUUUAUGAACAGUUUAUCAUUAAAGAAAAGAAGUAUUAUUGUAUAAUAUAACAAACUAAAUGUAGCCAUUAUGCAGAUUGUGACUUAAUUAAUUCAAAUUAAUCAAUGCUCCAGCAAAAUUUUACAACGAUCAAUGGAAGAAAACAGUGGAAAAGGUGAGCUGAAAACAUACAUUAAUACAUUUGUUUUACUUCAGUUACGUUAAUGAAAAUAUGAUAGAAGUGUUUUUGUGACAAUGGGCCACUUAGACAAAGGGGCUUAAACCCCUGAUCAUAGCGUUAAAAAAUAAUUAUGUUAAGCAUGAAAAAACGUUAAAUUAAACUUAUAUUCUGUAACUUAACUAGUAUCUAAAAUUGUGCAAAAAGUACAAUAUUUCCCUCAGAAAUAUUCCUCUGUAUAGUCCAAGCGCCUCCAACCUGUAUUUAAGUCCAGUCCCUGAUGAAAUGUGAUGGUGUCACAGCUCUAAAGAGGCAGCAGGUGGUGCUAUUAGCUUCAGGAUCGGUCGAUCUCAGAUCAGAAUCCAGAGACAUCCUACACCACACCACUGUUUAACGGAGAUCUGGCAUAAAAUAAUGGAGAGAACAUGACCUCAAAAGAUAUAAAACGUCCUGAUCUCAGUCCUGAUCUCAGAAAUAUUUCUUACCUUCACACAGUCAGCAUUAUCAGUCAUCCAGCUCCAACAGGUUAACAAUCCACUGAUACUAUUAUCAUGCAUUUCCCACUUCCUCUCAUCUAUUAUUAUAUUUUCACUUCACAACUUGCCAUACAAACUGGUUCUGGGGCUAAGAUGUCUAGUGCUUUGUCUAUUCAUUUCAUUUAUUUUUUAAUUUUUUGUUAAAUUGCUGAUGAUGUCUUUUCUAAUUUGCUUUUUCUUUGGAAGCUACUUCAACUUCCUGCUAGAACAGGUUUGUUAAGAAAAACCACAAACAGGCAAAAACAAAACAAAACACAACCCCUAUGACCACAGAAUUUGUCACAUGUGUCUAAACAUAUAUUAACAAAGAAAACACGACCUAACUUCCGGAUUUCAUUGCUGCCAUUCUUGAUGUAUUAAUGUUGCUUCGGCUUUUCUGGCCCUGAUUCAGAUUUCUGAUAUAGCUUAAGUAUUUUCCUGUCGUGAAGACUUUUCCACAAAUUUUUCUCCAGAAUAUAGUCGUGGUUGCUGUAGAAAAUGACCCUGGUUCUAAUCUCCGUCUCAAAGUAGUAGUUGGAGUAUUUGCUGUGGUCUUCCGUCAUGAACCCGUAUGCAUUCACCUGAGGAGGACGGACAGAGACAAAGAAAACAUGGAGGACAGGGUAUAAUCAGGUGCUUCCAAACUGUGCCAUUUGGAGACUCCGAAGGGACCUUUGGACAUAUUUUGGGCUCCACUGAAAGGUGACAAAGGAAUCAUAUUUGGAAUCAGACAAAUAACUGUCUCCAGUAUCAAUAUAUUAUCAAUUAUAUUACUACUACUUUGGCAGACUGGUAGUGGUGGGGUAAUCUUUAUGGAGCAGAUGUUGAACCAAUAUGGUAAGUUUUCGGUAGUAGUAGAAACAUAUUCUCAUUGUGACAUUGAAGAGCAGCAUGUAAUAUAAUUUCAUUAUCAUACUAGCUGAUACUUUCAAGUGAUUACUACAUUGAUUCAUCCACACACUGAUCGCAAGUGACCAGCGUCAGGUAACUUGACUUGCGUCUCCAGAUCCGAUCCCAGUUUGUGCUGUGACUCGACCUCAGUACUUUGUCCCUUUUUAUGCAUCUCAUGUGUUGGAAAGAUAAAACAAUGAAACCUUCUCCAGAUUUUAUGCUGUUUUUAUGCUGACAUGUUUAAUGAAGACCAUAGACAACUUUAAACCAACCACGAAGCGUAUUAUAUGUAUUAGACUGUCAAAGGGGAUUAAAUGUUAAUCCAGUCAGUCAAUGGAGACAAUACUUCCGGUUGUUUAUGAAAUCAAGUCUCCAUCAUGUGGUUCAGUUGACUAAUGAUGUAGCUGUUACCUCAUAUUUAAAGAACAUCUUAACUGAUACACUUUACACGACACAUGAUACCGCCAAUUUCUGUCAACAGAUUUUAUUCCCACACUCU